AAACUUUGAAACCACCCAUAGCCCCCACAUCCAAAUCGCUGUGCCAUCUCCUCCCAUGCAACUUCAAAUUCAUCAAUUUUAAGAGAGCCAUACACUGUAUUAUACAGUACCUCAUGGAAUACUUCUGAUUCCCCCACUUCCCCUACUGAAUUGACAAUGCUGUCCAAAAUAAUUGACAAGUUAAGCCUAUGGUUAGCCCGGGGAAAUAUCUCAGAUAUUGCAUUUUGCAAGGCUUUGCAGCGAUCUGUGAUGAUAGUUUGUGGAGGGCGUCCUGACAUACACGAUAGCCAUGCUCUCAGUAACCAAACAUAUGUCUCAAA
rnacentral:misc_RNA from 1 species